rnacentral:ncRNA from 1 species
UUUCCCUCAGAAUAGUUGAAGAACGUAAUUAGUUAUAUUCAGUAAAGCGAAUGAUUAGAGGAAUUGCAGGACGUAAUAUCUUCAAUCUCUCCGCAAACUUUCAAUGAAUAUAAUGUCUCGCUUGUUUAAAUUUUGCAUUACCGUCAUCUUUUUCA